GAAAUGCGAUACGUAAUGCGAAUUGCAGAUUUUCGUGAAACAUCAAAUCUUUGAACGCAACUUGCGCUCUGGGGAAACCUGGAGCAUGCCUCUCUGAGUGUCGUUACAACCAACCUCGGCUGCGACCUGUUAAAAAGGGUUCGCUGAGUCCGGAUAGUGAGAGUCAUUAAGAGCCUUUUUUUUAAGGCAACUUUGGUGUCUCUUUAAGUUGAUGCUUUAUAUAAAACAGCUCUUAGCUUGAUGUUAUCCAUCUGGCUGAUGCCUGAUAACUGACCUCUUUUGGUCAUUCUCUGCAUCUGGCUUGGGAUAUAUUAAGAAUUUGUUGGCUGUUUAAUUAGCCUCAAAAAAGGAAAAUUAACUUUUUUAUUCGCGAUCUCAGAUGAAGCAAGAUUACCCGCCG
rnacentral:misc_RNA from 1 species